rnacentral:rRNA from 1 species
UACGAGGGGUGCAAGCGUUGUUCGGAAUUAUUGGGCGUAAAGGGCAGGUAGGUGGUCUUGAAAGUCUGCUGUGAAAUCCCCGAGCUUAACUUGGGAAGUGCGGCAGAUACUCCAAGACUAGAGUACUGGAGGGGUUCGUGGAAUUCCUGGUGUAGCGGUGAAAUGCGUAGAUAUCAGGAGGAACACCAGAGGCGAAGGCGGCGAACUUGACAGUUACUGACACUCAACUGCGAAAGCGUGGGGAGCAAACAGG